rnacentral:sRNA from 16 species
AUAGAUAAAGACGUCAUUUUGUUUCUAUCUUAAGAAGUUAAUCCCCAAUUCAAUCAAAAUAUUGUUUUCUCUCUCUCUCUCCAUAAAACAAAUAGUAUUUUUGAUCUAACUUCUCAAGCAGAAUAGAACAAAACUUAAUUGUCUUUGUUUGGAUAUGAUAACAACUGAUUGUAUCAGUUGAAAAAACUCGGAGCAUUCCGAGUUUUUU